GACAGAGGGAGAGACGUGUUCAGGGCAUGCACCAGCUCCUCAUGACGAAUGUAACCAUUAAGUACUGCCAACAUGGAGUCAUAAAGUAAAAAUAAAGCAGUAGUUUUGAGCCCGGUAGUUUUGCAUUGUUAAAAAAAAGAAAAGAAAAAAUUUCCAGUUACAUUAGACUGGAAUUUAGUGUUUUCCAUUCACUGACAUCAAAUAUAGGGACUAAAUAGGGAAAAGAUAGGAUUAAAAUCCUAAGCAUAAGAAUUAUAAUGUAAAAAUUCUUUUUUUGGGGGGGGUACUGGGGAUCAAACUUGGGUCCUUGUACUUGCAAGGCAGGCAGCAGAACCACUGAGCUAAAUCCGGCCCCAAUGUAAAAAUCCUUAAUUGUAGCUCAUGUUAGAUUUAAAAGUUAACUCUAAAAAGUGGUACUUUCAUUGAUGAUUCGUCAGCUGUUUUAAUUAUGCAUCUAUUUUCACACUAAUGGUACAGGAGUAAUUCCUUUUUAUAGAAGGAAUCAUUGAUCUGUUGGGGGUGCAGCCCAGGAGCAGAGCUCCUGCCUUGAUGUGUGGGCUCCUUCCCUGCGGAGCGGGAGGAGAAAGGAAGGCCAGGGGGUAAAGAGGGAAGAAAUGAUCGUCCCAGGGAUUAAGAAAAGCCAGCUCUUGAAUCUGAGGUAAAAUAUAUUGUUAUUUCAUGGCACUCUACAUAAAUUCCAUGGGCAAGCCUUUCAAAGGACCUGCAAAAUUAAAACAAUGAAACAAUAACUGUGCCGGUCAUAGUUGCAUAAUUUCUGGGCUGUGCCAGCAAGGAGAGGACUUACAGGGAACUGCAGUCUCCUGCCAGUAGGUCACCCUCUCCCCGCCCCAAUCCCUCGGCACAGCUCAUGGUCAUGGUCACGGCCUUGUUACCGAGUUCUCUACCAGCUGCAGCCCUCACCUGUAGCAUCCCUGUGUCCGUCUGUCCCUCCCUCAGCCCUGCACCUCCCCGCAGACACCUGUGUCUUGCUCGGUGCCAGGGGAAAGCACUGGUACCUGCAGCACCCACAGGGAGCGGCACGUUCUGAGGGUGACACUCUAACCGAGUAUUCUGACAGUGCUGAGCGUGUGAGUUCACAGUGCCGUGCUUUCCUCAGACAUCUGCUUCCUCCUGCAGUAUGGAAAGCUGCUCUAGGGUCUGAGCGAACAUGGACUCGCAACUCAGUUGGAAAACUGCCUUGGAAAACUUUUUAAACCUGGGGCGAAGCAGACAGCCAUCAAGCCCAGGCUGGCCUUGAACUCACUGUGAUCCUGCCGCCCCAGCCUCCUGAGUGCUGGGCUCACAGGUGUGACCGCCACACCCGGCUCCCUGCCAACGUCCAGCUUGCUGUGCGUCUAGUCUUCUUGCCUUCCGUGAGGUUAGGGACGUCGUCUUCAGCUGGGAAGAGGACUGUGGUGAGCAAGCGGCUAGGCCGUGUUUGUGUAAACUGCGAUUACUCCUUAGAGGUGAGGUUUGGACGGAGGGAGUAUUCACCUAGAGCUACUACUGCACCCUUGGAAAAGAGUCAUAGAAUGCACUGUGAGUUGUGUGAAUUUUCAAAGGAUUGGAUGCUGGUGCACUAAACAUCUGAGGAGUGGUCCACGUGCACAGAGCAUUGUCCUGAACCCUAAUGUAACCUGCUGCCCUCUCUAGGACUCUACUGAGAGUGUGGUCAAAAUGAAAGCGUGAAAGUUGAAAAGCUCAGUUUUUUGAAAACACAGAACUACGCCAGGAGUGGUGGUGCAUGCCUAUAAUACUGGCACUCUGGGAGGCUGAGACAGGAGGGUCACAAGUUCGAGCCCAGCCUGGGCAGCCAGGACAACUGGCAAGUGAUUGCUUUAAAUAAGAAAGAUACAUAAAGAUGAACAGACUGUUAUGGUGGAGGUAGCCUUUGAGAUAUCCGUAUCAUAAAAGUAGAAGCAAUAGUAAAAAAAUAAAGGUAGAAGAAAUAUGCCUGAGGUUAGUAUAUGGUUGGGUAAAGUACUGUACAGGGGCCCUAGAGAGACUUCCUUUCUUCCUUCAAGGGCGUCAGGAACGGGGCGCAGGCCGGAGAGCUACACACUCGCAGAAUGAAAACUCGGUUCCGCUCAGGAGCACGGACAGUUAGAGAAACCGGACUGCAGGCGGCUCCGAGUGCUGCCCCCGGGAGACUGCAGCGCCUGGAGGCCCGGUCUGCGGGCUUGGCGUCGUCUGUUCCCGCCUCAGCAAGGGCAGGGCCAGUCACUGACACAGACCGAGGGGCGAGCCUGGCAGAUGGUGCCUCGGAGCUGACUCAGCCCUUUCCCCGGCUCACAGAGUUUCUCAGGAAGCUUCUCCCUGGCACGCAGGGCAGUUUUAUCUCCACUCGAGGAGCAGAUUGUAAUUUGUAACCUGUAGACGCCAUGGCGUGUGAGCGGGACGUGGGUGCGUCAGGACGUGAGUUGCGCUCUCCCCCUGGGCUGGAGCUGUCUCCUUCUCUGGAGACCUUGGGCAUCGCGAGGAGAAGCGACCGACAGCCAAGCCACAGGCUGCUGGCCGUGCUGUUUGGCGGUUAGGUGUGUUAAGUGCACCCCAGCACACUGUAUUUUCAAUUUAUGUUGCGCUUCCUGGGAUGUCGCCCAGAUACAAACAGGAAUAUCUGCAUAGCCAGCUUCCCUUUGUGCUCACCACUUCCUAUUACCUAGCGUCCAGACAGCUCGUUUCCUUUCUUUAACCCACUGCUUUGGUGGGUUACACCAGCAGUGCGGCCCCUGUCCACUUCCCCGUGGUGGACGCGGCGCCCCCCUACAGGCCACAUAGCUCUCACCAGAUAGCUGAAGCCCACAGUGCCUGUACCUUGUCGUCCCAGCCUCCAGAACUGGGGAGGAAACAAGUUCUGGUCUCUAAAACUUACCAUCAGUUGAGCGCUGAGCUGCCCCAGAUGCUGAGCACAGGGACAGGAACAGCACAGUGCUCCUGGGAGCAGAGGCACCUGCCCGACGCCCCGGCAGAACAGAGACACAGACUUGCGAGGAGCCAGUGCGCUGACUCCGCAGCCCAGGGAGAGGCCUUGGCCGGCCUUGCGGGAGAAGCAGAACCUUGCCAGAAGAAACUGAAGGCUCACGAGCUCGGAAGAGAUGAGGACAGAGGGAAGCUGCCAGAGAGCAGGCCCAGGCGGCAGCGUGUGCACAGCGCUCCUGGAGGGACAGGAGCAGGUCAGGCCCCAUUUCAGACUCAGAGAUGGGGCAGCAUGAGGAGAGCCGAGAAGACGCACAGUAGACACAAAACCCACCAACUUGAGGCUGGAGGCAGGAAGCCAGAGUGCAGACGGAGAAGAGAAACUGAGAAGUUUGCUGACUGAAUGUUUGGCGGGGAGGAACAGUCAGGGAAGGCGCCUGGGGCAGCUGAGUGAUGAGGGCACAGGCUGGGGAGAGGGGGGUGCAGACCUGAGGUGAGCAGUGUCACGCAGGACUUGGGAGAGAGGCCUGGGUCAGGGUGCGAGCCCAGCCUAGGCAACUUAGUGACUUACCAAGACCCCUGCCUCAGAAAUAUAAAACAAAAAACUUUUUAAAGGGGCUGGGGAUGUAGCUCAGUGGAAAGGCCUUGGGUUCAAACCCCAGGAUUCAAAACAAAACAAUACACUGUAGUUUGUGCCAUGUGUGGUAGCACUGUAAUCCUGGCAGCACUUAGGAGGCUGAGGCAGGAGGAUUGCAAGUUUGAGGCCAGCCUGGGCUACCUAGACUCUAUCUCAAAAAACAAAACUAAAAACCAAACCAAAUAAACAAAACAAAAACAAAGAGAGAAAGGAAGAAAAAGAGAGAGAGACAGGGAGAGAGAUAGAGAGAGGAAGACGCCGUCUGCUCUCAGCGGGCAGCCAGGGCUCAGAUUCCAUGGAUCAGCGGAGGAUGCGGACGGGGUGACAAACCUACAGCAUGUGCACCGCGGCAGCUGUUGUACUGACAGCUGUCAAAGGUUCGCCAUCCCUUGGGGGGUGGUAGCUGUGAAGGGCAGGCGACGUGCUCAGCGAAUCAACACCAACCAGGGGAAAGCACAAACUGAGGGAGAAGGAAAGAAACUGGGACCCAGCAGUGCAGGCAGAGGAGGCUGUGCUUCCAGUCACAGGGCCCGGGCUGAGCAGCCAGAAGCGACCGCUCUGCACGAUGGCACCGCGCAGGCUGGAGAGGCGGGGGCCACGCGGGGGCCACGCACGCUGAGUCCUGACAGGGGCCUGUCUGCCGUAGCUCAGGGCUCAGGACGGGAAGAGCGUGGGAUGGGCCUGGCAAGCUGAGGAGUCUGGGAGAAUCGGAACCUGGCUCCAGAUCAUUAGCAAGUGGGUCCAUCAAGGCAGAACAGAAUGCUGUACAGAAGGUCUGUUACCGUGAUUUGUAACUGUGUGUGUGUUUGUGUGUGUGUGUGUGUGUGUGAGGUACUGGGGACUGAACGCAGAGCUACAUCUGGACCCCCCUUUUUUUAAAAAUCGGAGACAAGAUCUCACUAACUUGCCCAGGUUAGACUUGAACUUGGGACCCUCCAGCCUCAGCUGUCCAGAGUGCUGGGGUUACAGGGGUACAGCACUGCACCCAGCUGAUUUAUAACUUUUAAAUAUUUGGGCAGGUGGUACAUGAGCCUCUGCGGCCACACUCUUGCUCAGGUUCUGCCAGUUUAGUGUGUGCUACAGUGUAUUACAGUGUAAGGAGUAACAGGUUCACACAGAUGAGAUUAUACUUUAGCUGCUCCCCC